rnacentral:rRNA from 1 species
GACGAACGCUGGCGGCGUGCCUAAUACAUGCAAGUCGGACGCAGUUGCGAACGGGUGAGUAACGCGUAGGUAACUCCCUCUAAGAGGGGGAUAUCUAUUGGAAACGAUAGUUAACACCGCAUACUAGUAGAUGGCACUGCGUUGUCUUAGCUAGUAGGUAGGGUAAUGACCUACCUAGGCAACGAUACAUAGCCGAACCGAGAGGGUGAUCGGCCCCACUGGGACGGGAACACGGCCCAGACUCCCACGGGGUGCAGCAGUAGGGGAGCUUCGGACAGGGGGGGAAGCCUGACCGUGAAACGCCGCGUGAGGUACAAAGGUUUUCGGAAUGUAAAUCUCUGGUGUUAAGGAAGCGGUACUUAACCAGAAAGGGACGGCUAACUACGUGCCAGCAGCCGCGGUAAUAC